rnacentral:lncRNA from 1 species
UUUCAAUUGGCCCCUUCCAGCAAGGCAAUGGGCCCCAUUUUAAAGGCUAUAUGACUCAAAGCCAAAGGUCACCAAUAUCCACAAUUAAUGAUGCUUCUAGUGAAGAUUUUUGCCAUAUAUCUCGGAUUCAUGAGCUACAAAUGUGUCACUAGACCUCCAUGUGAAAGGAUAGAGAUAAGCAUUGCUAGUAUCAAGUGAAAG